rnacentral:rRNA from 1 species
GAUGAACGCUGGCGGCGUGCCUAAUACAUGCAAGUCGAGCGAAUGGAUUAAGAGCUUGCUCUUAUGAAGUUAGCGGCGGACGGGUGAGUAACACGUGGGUAACCUGCCCAUAAGACUGGGAUAACUCCGGGAAACCGGGGCUAAUACCGGAUAACAUUUUGAACCGCAUGGUUCGAAAUUGAAAGGCGGCUUCGGCUGUCACUUAUGGAUGGACCCGCGUCGCAUUAGCUAGUUGGUGAGGUAACGGCUCACCAAGGCAACGAUGCGUAGCCGGCCUGGGAGGGGGAUCGGCCACACUGGGACUGAGACACGGCCCAGACUCCUGCGGGAGGCAGCAGUAGGGAAUCUUCCGCAAUGGACGAAAGUCUGACGGAGCAACGCCGCGUGAGUGAUGAAGGCUUUCGGGUCGUAAAACUCUGUUGUUAGGGAAGAACAAGUGCUAGUUGAAUAAGCUGGCACCUUGACGGUACCUAACCAGAAAGCCACGGCUAACUACGUGCCAGCCGCCGCGGUAA